UUUGGUUGUUUUGAGCACUGUUUGGAUGCUGAGAAUGUGGAGGAGAAAUCCGAGGAACUUAUUUUGUUGGGUUCAAGAAAUUGAGAAAAUGUCAGUCAGGUGGUCGUGUUAGGUGCAGUUGAGUGGUGGUUUUUGUUUUCUUGGGUCUUAACUCUGAAGUGAUGGGAAUUUGAAAUUCUAGUCUGUUGGUUUUGGGGUUCUGUGAUGUGUGUGUUGAUCAAGGGUUUUGGAUGUUGCUCCAGGAAAAAGUUGAACUGAAUUGGGACAAGAUGGAUGAGAAUGAUGUUUCCAUGGAAAUCCAAGAAAUUUCUUUGGAUCAUAACCAGAGACUUCCGGUUUCUCAGAAAAUUGAUGAGUUGAGCACCGAGACUCAGACUUUGAAGGGGCACACAAUUUUAUGUAAUGAAGUGAAGAGCAUUAAUGCAGAUUCCUCUCCUGGGCCUGAAGUUUACGAUGCUCUUCUGUUUCUCGGUAUUGAGUAUGAAAAUUUGAAGAAGAAACAUUUGAAAGAGUGUGCUUCUGAAGAAGAAGUACCUUGAAGAGUGCUUGGAACGGAAGCGGCUGUACAAUGUAGUUAUUUAACUCAAAGGCAACAUCAGGGUCUUCUGCAGAUGUAGACCCUUAAAUCAAGCUGAAAUUGCUAAUGGAUCUACUUCUAUAGUUGAUUUUGACUCAUCUCAAGAAAAUGAGCUUCAAAUCAUUUGCUCUGAUUCUUCAAAGAAGCAAUUUAAGUUCGACCAUGUG